rnacentral:rRNA from 1 species
GUUUCCCUUGUGGCUUGUAUACAGGUGGUGCAUGGUUGUCGUCAGCUCGUGUCGUGAGAUGUUGGGUUAAGUCCCGCAACGAGCGCAACCCUUGUUCUGUGUUGCCAGCAUGCCCUUCGGGGUGAUGGGGACUCACAGGAGACUGCCGGGGUCAACUCGGAGGAAGGUGGGGAGGACGUCAAAUCAUCAUGCCCCUUAUGUCUUGGGCUGCACACGUGCUACAAUGGUCGGUACA